CCUACGGGAGGCAGCAGUGAGGAAUAUUGGUCAAUGGACGAGAGUCUGAACCAGCCAAGUAGCGUGAGGGAUGAAGGCCCUGUGGGUCGUAAACUUCUUUUGUCAAGGAAUAAAACGAGGCACGCGUGCCUUUUUGCAUGUACUUUAUGAAUAAGCAUCGGCUAACUCCGUGCCAGCAGCCGCGGUAAUACGGAGGAUCCGAGCGUUAUCCGGAUUUAUUGGGUUUAAAGGGUGCGUAGAUGGGUUGUUAAGUCAGGUGUGAAAGUUUGCGGCUCAACCGUAAAAUUGCAAUUGAUACUGGCAGUCUUGAGUACAGUAGAGGUAGGCGGAAUGCGUGGUGUAGCGGUGAAAUGCUUAGAUAUCGCGAAGAACCCCGAUUGCGAAGGCAGCUUACUAAAUUGUGACUGACAUUGAGGCACGAAAGUGUGGGUAUCAAACAGGAUUAGAUACCCUUGUAGUC
rnacentral:rRNA from 1 species